GGGGGGUAAGGGGAUGGUCCCCACCUGGUCUGCAAAACCAGUGUUAUAGCUAUAAGACUGGCUAUUGUGCGUUCGAUUCGCACUACUCCCCUCCA
rnacentral:sRNA from 1 species